UGCCUAUACAUGCAGUAGAACGCUGAAGGAGGAGCUUGCUCUUCUGGAUGAGUUGCGAACGGGUGAGUAACGCGUAGGUAACCUGCCUGGUAGUGGGGGAUAACUAUUGGAAACGAUAGCUAAUACCGCAUAAUAACAGUUGUUGCAUGACAACCGUUUGAAAGGUGCAAUUGCAUCACUACCAGAUGGACCUGCGUUGUAUUAGCUAGUUGGUGGGGUAACGGCUCACCAAGGCGACGAUACAUAGCCGACCUGAGAGGGUGAUCGGCCACACUGGGACUGAGACACGGCCCAGACUCCUACGGGAGGCAGCAGUAGGGAAUCUUCGGCAAUGGACGAAAGUCUGACCGAGCAACGCCGCGUGAGUGAAGAAGGUUUUCGGAUCGUAAAGCUCUGUUGUAAGAGAAGAACGAGUGUGAGAGUGGAAAGUUCACACUGUGACGGUAUCUUACCAGAAAGGGACGGCUAACUACGUGCCAGCAGCCGCGGUAAUACGUAGGUCCCGAGCGUUGUCCGGAUUUAUUGGGCGUAAAGCGAGCGCAGGCGGUUAGAUAAGUCUGAAGUUAAAGGCUGUGGCUUAACCAUAGUACGCUUUGGAAACUGUUUAACUUGAGUGCAAGAGGGGAGAGUGGAAUUCCAUGUGUAGCGGUGAAAUGCGUAGAUAUAUGGAGGAACACCGGUGGCGAAAGCGGCUCUCUGGCUUGUAACUGACGCUGAGGCUCGAAAGCGUGGGGAGCAAACAGAUUAGAUACCCUGGUAGUCCACGCCGUAAACGAUGAGUGCUAGGUGUUAGACCCUUUCCGGGGUUUAGUGCCGUAGCUAACGCAUUAAUCACUCCGCCUGGGGAGUACGACCGCAGG
rnacentral:rRNA from 1 species